rnacentral:ncRNA from 1 species
CGUCGUGAGACAGGUUAGUUUUACCCUACUGAUGAAGUGUUGUUGCAAUAGUAAUUCUGCUCAGUACGAGAGGAACCGCAGAUUCAGACAAUUGGCAUUUGCACUUGGCUGAAAAGCCAAUGGUGCGAAGCUACCAUCUGUUGGAUUAUGACUGAACGCCUCUAAGUCAGAAUCCUUGCUAGAACGCAACGAUAAUUACCUCCGGAGAAUCUUAGGCGAACAAGGAUAGAGAACGGGCUUGCCCGCUCUCCUGCGUCCCAAUGUGCCAAGAGGAAAAACAACCCUCAAGGCACUAAAGUAUAUCAAAGUUUAAAAUUUCUGGAGAUAAAUCCUUUGCAGACGACUUAAAUAAAGAACGGGGUAUUGUACGUUGUAGAGUAGCCUUGUUGCUACGAUCUUCUGAGAUUAAGCCUUUGUUCUACGAUUUGU